rnacentral:rRNA from 1 species
GACGAACGCUGGCGGCGUGCUUAACACAUGCAAGUCGAACGGAAAGGCCCUGCUUUUGUUGGGUGCUCGAGUGGCGAACGGGUGAGUAACACGUGUGUAACCUGCACUUGACUUUGGGAUAACUUCAGGAAACUGGGGCUCAUACCGGAUAGGAGCUCCUGCUGCAUGGUGGGGGUUGGAAAGUUUCGGCGGUUGGGGAUGGACUGGCGGCUUAUCAGCUUGUUGGUGGGGUAGUGGCUUACCAAGGCUAUGACGGGUAGCCGGCCUGAGAGGGUGAACGGCGACAUUGGGACUGAGAUACGGCCCAGACGCCAACGGGAGGCAGCAGUGGGGAAUAUUGCACAAUGGGCGGAAGCCUGAUGCAGCAACGCCGCGUGCGGGAUGACGGCCUUCGAGUGGUAAACCGCUUUCGCCGGUGACGAAGCGUGAGUGACGGUAAUGGGUAAGGAAGCACCGGCUAACUACGUG